GAGUUUGAUCGUGGCUCAGGAUGAACGCUAGCGGCAGGCUUAACACAUGCAAGUCGAGGGGUAGAAGGAGCUUGCUCCUUUGAGACCGGCGCACGGGUGCGUAACGCGUAUGCAAUCUACCUUGUACAGGGGGAUAGCCCAGAGAAAUUUGGAUUAAUACCCCAUAGUGUAAUGAAACGGCAUCGUUUUAUUACUAAAGUUCCAACGGUACAAGAUGAGCAUGCGUCCCAUUAGCUAGUUGGUGUGGUAACGGCAUACCAAGGCAACGAUGGGUAGGGGUCCUGAGAGGGAGAUCCCCCACACUGGUACUGAGACACGGACCAGACUCCUACGGGAGGCAGCAGUGAGGAAUAUUGGUCAAUGGGCGCAAGCCUGAACCAGCCAUGCCGCGUGCAGGAUGACGGUCCUAUGGAUUGUAAACUGCUUUUGUACAGGAAGAAACACUCCCUCGUGAGGGAGCUUGACGGUACUGUAAGAAUAAGGAUCGGCUAACUCCGUGCCAGCCGCCGCCGUAAU
rnacentral:rRNA from 1 species